ensembl:lncRNA
GUUAGCUCGACUGCACCAUGUGAUGGGUGAUGUUCAGCACAUGAAGCCCUACAGAUGCCGCCAAUUCAACAAUGCUGAUUAUGAUGGGCGGUGAAUUUAACCUAUAUGGCUUUUUCGUUUUAACUUCUUGUUGACUGAAUUGUUUCUCUUUCUUAGUGCCAAAUUGAUUCUCUUUCUAAGUGCCAAAUUGAUUCUUUUUUCUUCUGCUCUCCUUCUCAUUAAUUUUUCCUUUUCUAGUUGCCUUAUUAGGUCCUCCACAGUCGCCCCAUCAGUCCCUGGCAGUCUGGUCCCUGGAGCAGCUGGCCCUGGCAAAAGUUAUUCCUUCACUGUUGACCCCUGA